rnacentral:tRNA from 1 species
UUGGUUAAAGCCAAAAAGAGGCACAUUACUGUUAAUAAUGGAACUGAAAACUUUUUUUUCUAACCAAG